rnacentral:rRNA from 1 species
GAUGAACGCUGGCGGCGUGCCUAAUACAUGCAAGUCGAGCGAACGGACGAGAAGCUUGCUUCUCUGAUGUUAGCGGCGGACGGGUGAGUAACACGUGGAUAACCUACCUAUAAGACUGGGAUAACUUCGGGAAACCGGAGCUAAUACCGGAUAAUAUUAUGAACCGCAUGGUUCAAAAGUGAAAGACGGUCUUGCUGUCACUUAUAGAUGGAUCCGCGCUGCAUUAGCUAGUUGGUAAGGUAACGGCUUACCAAGGCAACGAUGCAUAGCCGACCUGAGAGGGUGAUCGGCCACACUGGAACUGAGACACGGUCCGGACUCCUACGGGAGGCAGCAGUAGGGAAUCUUCCGCAAUGGGCGAAAGCCUGACGGAGCAACGCCGCGUGAGUGAUGAAGGUCUUCGGAUCGUAAAACUCUGUUAUUAGGGAAGAACAUAUGUGUAAGUAACUGUGCACAUCUUGACGGUACCUAAUCAGAAAGCCACGGCUAACUACGUG